GUUUUAGAAGUCUCUUGCUUGUGUGCUUGAUCAAAUUGUAAUCUUCUAUGAUUAUAGUGAAAUCCCUUGGAAGUGCAAGGGGACUGGACUACUCUCGAUUUAUGAGAGGAACUAGGAUAAAUUUGUGUGACUCUUUAUUUCUUUCAUUCUUUAUUCGCUACUUAUCACUCACCUUUGAUUCAAACUCUAGACUUUGUGUAUAGAAACUGAUUAUAG
rnacentral:lncRNA from 1 species